rnacentral:rRNA from 1 species
CCUGAUCCCUUUCCGAACUCAGAAGUGAAACGUCUUAGCGCCGAUGGUAGUGUGUCAGGUGGCAUGUGAGAGUAGGUCAUCCCCAAGC